CUCUUCUAGAAUGUCCUAAGUAAGAGACAAAGGGCGUAUAGGUAUUUGAUUCGAUCACAACAGAAGGCAGCACGAAGAAGAUGAAGGGGACAGUGCGCGUCUAUUUGAAGUGCCAUCUGUGACCCAGUUCAUGUUGUUCUUGGUUGGCGGCGAGGGUCAUCAAGGAGGCGGAGGACAAAUGAGAAUGAGAUCGACAUCCACUCUGACCCCUUCAGGAUUUCUCCCAUAAAUUAAGCUUUGGAAGAAGAAUUUGCGAUGGGGGAGAGGAUUUGGGAGGAGUGAAGAAUGUGCUCCUUGUGACAUUGUUGGUGAUAUUAGCAAUGAAGAAUUUCUGGCAGCUGCAUAUGAGGAUGCUAAGCAUGGGAUGACCUUAUAAUCAAUUCUAAGUUGACAGUCAAGUUAAUGUUUUCCCUGUUAAAGCAGAACUAUUGAAGCCCCAAGAGAAAAUGGAAAGACCCAUAACUGAUUUGAUUAAAAAGAGUUUGAGUCUUCAGUGACUAGCUCUAACAUGAGCACAUGUAUGAACUGAUUGGAAUCAUUGAAGGGAAAGCUGAACUAGAUCUACAAUUUAAUGUAAGUGCUUUUCUUUACU